ACUUGUUGCACAUUACUUCAUGUAACUCCCUUCUCCGGUCAGCCUCGUAAGUCCUCUGAGCCGCCAUGGCGCAUUAACUCUGAGCCAUUGUCACCCCCGGUCCCGAAUGAAGGAUCUCAGCGGCUGGAGAGAGGUUGAUGGCCUGACAUAUCUGCAGGUGGAGGCGACACUGGGUUUGUGAUAGACGAGAAUGCUGCCAAGCCAAUGACCGCAGUUCAAGACUGCGCUUCGAUGUUUGUAAGUUUAAGUGGCUGGUUGUUUUUGACAAGGAGCCGUGAUGUUUCGACAUGUGUAAGUGUGACACUGUGGGGCAUAUUUGUCAAGGUGACCCUGGUAUGAUAUCCAGCUGGGCUUGACCUGUUAUUUUGAUGGGAAGUCAGUCCUGGCACCUUUUCCUAGCAACCCUCUCUUGUCACCGCUGAUCACAUGGGUGAAUCACCCGCUGGCGCCUCUCUGACUCAUCGACUGGCUGCGUCAUCUUUUGAUUUAUCGACUCAAUGAUUGGCAGUGUAUAGGAAAAUCUUUCCUGCGGAUUUACAGGGCGUUCAACUGAUCUGCAGGCAGAUUUGCAGCUAUGUCUCCCAUCACUGUGAGGGCCCAAACAGCCAGAGGCCGUCAGUCAGUCAGUCUGCCAAACUGGUUCAACUGUUUAGUUGUAUUUGCUCCCAACGCCUAUAAAUGUCACAGCUCACACAC